rnacentral:rRNA from 1 species
UACGUAGGGUGCAAGCGUUAAUCGGAAUUACUGGGCGUAAAGCGUGCGCAGGCGGUGAUGUAAGACAGAUGUGAAAUCCCCGGGCUCAACCUGGGAACUGCAUUUGUGACUGCAUCGCUGGAGUACGGCAGAGGGGGAUGGAAUUCCGCGUGUAGCAGUGAAAUGCGUAGAUAUGCGGAGAAACACCGAUGGCGAAGGCAAUCCCCUGGGCCUGUACUGACGCUCAUGCACGAAAGCGUGGGGAGCAAACAGG